AAUACAUCGGAACGUGCCCGAUCGUGGGGGAUAACUACUCGMAAGAGUAGCUAAUACCGCAUACGAUCUACGGAUGAAAGCGGGGGAUCUUCGGACCUCGUGCGGACGGAGCGGCCGAUGGCAGAUUAGGUAGUUGGUGGGAUAAAAGCUUACCAAGCCGACGAUCUGUAGCUGGUCUGAGAGGACGACCAGCCACACUGGGACUGAGACACGGCCCAGACUCCUACGGGAGGCAGCAGUGGGGAAUUUUGGACAAUGGGCGAAAGCCUGAUCCAGCAAUGCCGCGUGCAGGAUGAAGGCCUUCGGGUUGUAAACUGCUUUUGUACGGAACGAAAAGACUCCUUCUAAUACAGGGGGUCYAUGACGGUACCGUAAGAAUAAGCACCGGCUAACUACGUGSSAGCRGSSGCGGKAAU
rnacentral:rRNA from 1 species